AACGAACGCUGGCGGCAGGCUUAACACAUGCAAGUCGAACGCCUGUAGCAAUACAGGAGUGGCGCACGGGUGAGUAACGCGUGGGAACCUACCCUUUGGUACGGGACAACGCAGGGAAACUUGCGCUAAUACCGUAUGAGCUCUUUGGAGGAAAGAUUUAUCGCCGAAGGAUGGGCCCGCGUCGGAUUAGGUAGUUGGUGAGGUAACGGCUCACCAAGCCGACGAUCCGUAGCUGGUCUGAGAGGAUGAUCAGCCACACUGGGACUGAGA
rnacentral:rRNA from 1 species